GCCCUCCUGUGGCGCAACGGGUCAGUGCACCCGGCUGUUAACCAAAAGGUUGGUGGUUCAAACCCAACCAGGGACG